AUAACAAGAUACUGCAAGGAAUUUUGGUCAACUGUUCUACAGAGUCUAUCAUGAUAAUAAAAUUAAUAUUUGAAAGAAAUGUGAAAAGAAUGUCAUCAUGAAAGCUAGUGUGUGUUUGUGUGUGUGGUGUCUAAGACUGAAACAAGUAAAACAUAGAAAAUUAAAGAUAAUCUUCCCUAAUCGAUAAAAUAAAAUUUUGUUUUUGUUCUGUUUUUAUAUUCAGUUUGGUUAACUUUAUAUUAUUGUCUUUUGUAACUGAACAGUAAA